AGCAGUAGCCGCGGGAAAACCAGCACCUCGAGUGGUCAGGAGGUUUAUUGGGCCUAAAGCAUCCGUAGCCGGUUGCAUAAGUUUUCGGUUAAAUCUAUGCGCUUAACGUAUAGGCCGCCGAAAAUACUGUGCAGCUAGGGAGUGGGAGAGGUACACGGUACUCGAUAGGAAGGGGUAAAAUCCUUUGAUCUAUUGAUGACCACCUGUGGCGAAGGCGGUGUACCAGAACACGUUCGACGGUGAGGGAUGAAAGCUGGGGGAGCAAACCGGAUUAGAUACCCCAGUAGUCCCUGUCUCUUAUAC
rnacentral:rRNA from 1 species